AAGCCACGAUCACACUUGGCUGUGAACACUACUAAGGAGCUGUAUGCAAACUAGUGGUAAGGUAGCUCUCCCGAGAAGAUUAACCUAACAGUCACACUGUAUUCGAUGUAGUGGGAGACUUCUUCACCAGUGAUAAUUUAUAAAAACCAGGUGACGCAAUGAUUGGUCCUGACCUCACCGUAAGUGCCCCGACCCGUGUCUUCCAUUCCUUGCUGCUGAUUGGCUGCCUGCUCUUCCUCACCUCCGCACAUGCCUCCUCAUCCUCAUCGUCCUCACAUCGGCAUGACUACUGCAUCAUUGGCGGCGGGCCCGGUGGACUACAGCUUGGCUACUUCAUGGAACAAAAGGGCAGAGAUUACGUUAUUUUUGAAAAAUCAAAUGUUUCUGGAAACUUUUUUACAGUAUAUCCUCGCCACAGAAAAUUGAUCAGUUUAAACAAGCGCUACACUGGCCAGACAAACAAAGAAUUCAACAUGCGGCAUGACUGGAACUCCCUGCUGAGUCAUGAUGAAAGUCUGCUGCUGAAACAUUACUCCAAGGAAAUGUUCCCCCACGCUGACGUGCUGCUCCAUUACCUGAGAGACUACGAGAGGAAGCUGGGUAUCAACGUCCAGCACAACACGGAGAUUAUGGCUAUAAAUACCGUAAAGGAUGCUGCCAUGCCGGACGGACAGUACUUCUCUCUCGAUGAUCAAAACAAGAACAAUUAUCAAUGCAGAUCUGUGAUAGUUGCCACUGGCCUGUGGAAGCCCAACAUCCCCAACGUCCCCGGGAUUGAAUAUGCUGUUGGUUAUGAAGAUGUGUCCAUCAAUACUGAUGACUUCGAAGGACAGACAGUGCUUAUACUUGGUCGAGGCAAUGCAGCAUUUGAAACAGGGGACGCCAUCUAUGGUUCCACAAACCUUAUACAUAUGGUAGGGAGAUCACGUGUCCGGUUGUCGUGGGCAACACACUAUGUGGGAGACCUCAGAGCUGUGAACAAUGGCCUGCUGGACACCUACCAACUCAAGUCACUGGACGGAGUUCUUGAGGCAUCCCUAAGUGAGGUGAAGUUUGUCAAGACGAAGGACGAUAAAUACGUUGUGGCACUCAAUACAGAAGAGGAACAGGAGGUGGAGUUGUCUUAUCUUGAUAACUUCGCCAUGAGGGAACCAUAUGACAAGAUUAUUCGCUGUCUGGGAUUUGAUUUUGAUGAUUCUAUAUUUACAAACUCUUCCAGAGUAAGUCGAGGAAAAGGGAGGUCCAAGAAAUACCCCUUGAUCAAACACAACUAUGAGUCAAUGGAAGUGCCAGGGAUGUUUUUUGCUGGCACGAACACCCACUCUCUCGACCACAGGAAGUCUGCGGGAGGCUUCAUCCAUGGCUUCCGAUACACAGCACGUGCUCUUCACACGCUGCUGGAGUGGCGGUAUGAGGGAGUGCAAUGGCCGUCUAAGAAGCUCCCCAUCACAGACCUGAUGAGCUACCUGCUGAAGAGGAUGAAUGAAGCGUCCGGCAUCUACCAGAUGUUCAGUGUGCUAGGAGAUGUUAUACUCCUCAAUGAAGAUGGCUCCAUGUUUGAAUACUUUGAGGAAUUCCCCAUCAACUUGCUCCAUCAGUUUCCCUCCGUUACUGGACACCCUGCUACCAGAGUUAUUGCCCUUGUCAUGCAAUAUGGGGCCAACUUUUCGGGACCAGGAAACGACAUAUUCCGUGUGGACCGAGCGACUGGCGAGCCUUCCGAAGCACAUCACUCCAACUUCCUCCACCCUGUGUUGUACUAUUACGACCAGCUACCCACAGAGGAACAGAUGAAGUAUCGAUUGAAACGAGAUAUACUUCCUCGACCAAAGUUGAUCCACCAUAUUGUGGAAGAUUUCCUCACGCUAUGGGACGCCCCCCUCAGUCACGUCCUACCCCUUAGACGAUACCUCGAUCAAAUCCUUGACACUGAUACCCGCCACUUCUUCACGGAAACUUGUUUCAAGAUGGCCAUGACCCAUGCAAGCGUUCCCUUGACCUGUCAGAAACACUACCUUGAAGGUCAAGGUCUGACUGGAACAAGUGCUCUUCGUCGUAAAGCAUUUGAAAUUGGACUAAUGGCGUAACAGUGAGAGAAAUACAAUCCUGUUUCCCUGUGAUAUGCAAAAUCUGCCCUAAUGUUCUUGUUGAACUGAUUCUUUUUCCCAAAUCAGAAUGUAUUUUUGAUGUGUAGAUCUGAACAUAGGUUUUUGUCUGAAGAAGUGGUAUAUGGAGAUCAACUGCAGAGCACAGACGUGCAGUAAACUUGUCAAAUAAUACGUCUUCUUGCCAAAUAAUGUACAAACCCAUUGCCUUCUGUUUGUAAGAAAACAGGUUCCUGUAAGAGUUAUCUCCCAUGCAACAUGCAUCUAACACAGACGUAUCGGUUUCUAUCUUAGUCUUGUUAAUUCAUGGCUAUUAGUGGAUCUUGUUGAGUAUCUUGAAUACCAAAGUUGUCAUAUCAUGGUGUUAGGGAUAAUAGAACUGUAGCUGAUCACGAUGUAAAUUAUAUAUCAGGGAUGUCACAGUUAGACUUUUUCUCUAUACGAUAUGUAUCGCAGUACUUUAUUCGUAGCAAUUUUGCUUGAAUUUAUAUAUUUCAUAAGGCAUAAAGAUUAUUUAAAAGGUUAGAAACUUCCUGAAUAUGUCGACGGAUAUUUGAAAAAAGAUACAUGUAUGUUCUUAUUUCAAUCAAUACCCAUACUUUAUCCUGGAAAAAACUGGACUGUCAGCACCAGUAAGACAAAGACUUGAACAGAAUUUAUAUCUUAAAACUGUGUACAUUGUAGAUGAAGUAUAAAUUAAUAAUGAUAAAAUUGUUUAUUAUUAAUGUAAGUACGACACAUUUUGCCAUUACAGUCAUAAAUAUGCCAUGUGUGACCGAAACAGGAUUCAAAUAUGAAUCGAUACAAGAUUGAAAUAUGAAUCGAUACAGGUAGGUGUGUAUAGCAUAGCACAUCUUCUAAGAAUGAUAUUGAUGUAGUGGUUUAUUGUGACAUCCCUAUUCGAGACCCUGACUGUGUUCAGGAUGGAAUGACUGAAGGGUGGUUAAAGGGUUGCCAGCACACAGCAUGUUACUUUCAUGAUUUACUUCGUAUCUUGUUUAUUCAAUGAGUUGUGCCAUUUUUAAUGCUGUUUAAUUUGCUGCUGACAUGGAAUAUGCUUUCCUUAUGAACAGUAGUUUUUAGAAGUAUAUGUUUUGAAGGUUCUCCUGAUAUUUUAUCAACUAGUUACUGAUAUGCUGUUGGACUAAUCCUAUCACUGCAUGCUGUAAUAGUGGUUGUUUUCGUCAGAUUUGUAACUGAAUAAAAGGGACACUUUUAUACGUACUGGCACAUUUGACAUGAGUUAUUAAGCUGAGUGAAUUAAGUUGCUUGUGCCUCUCAGCCUACACUUCGUUGCCCAUGUGCUCGCCGCUUCUGCUGCAGAUCUUGUUCACCUUGCCUUGUGUGUGCAAAGGUAAAGGUCAGAUCUUGUGAAUUCUAAGGAAAAUUUGUGUGCUAAUAUUUGAUACUUAAUCAUAAGACUCUACUUACCUAAUAAGGAGACAUGACCUGUGGUUUUAUGGAUUUAAUCCAAGGUCAAGGUCACAAGUUCAGAUCCUAAAAACAUGGCAAGAGCGUUUGGGCUAAUUAUUUCAGUUUGCCUGAUGAGAUGAGAUGAGAUGGCAAUAGUCUGUCAGAUAAGAUGAAUUAUUAAUACGUUCAUCAGCAUAUUGUCAUAACUUUAGAAAUUUUAAUAUGGCUGCUGUCAAUUCACUGUCAAUAUUUUAACAGUUAAGGGUGUAUUUUGUCAUAGUUUGUCAAUCACAUUUUAGGAUCUUCAUGAAACUGGGUGUCCAUAUCGUUUAUGAGGUUCUAUUGUUUUGUUGCUAUAUAUCUAACGGUCAAGGUUGAGGUUUUUUUUAUAACUGAGAGCUUGAGUUGUAUACAUCUCCGUUACUGUAGAUGCAGUGUUGAAUUGUUGGUUUGUGUCCUUCUGAUGAAGAUGGUGAUUGGAUGGAAUCAGUUUCAGCUAAUGCUAACAUCAUUUUUGGUCUGUGUAUAGAUGUGUCAUGAUACCACAGGGUCCAGCUAAUCCUAUUAUGGUAACCAGCUACAGACACUGUUCUUCUUGUAGAACUGUACAUGACACCCUGGUGUCCGAACACCAGCUACACUACAGGUGAAAGACACAAAUUCCAGUAGAAUGUACAUGACACCCUGGUGUCCGAACACCAGCUACACUACAGGUGAAAGACACUAAUUCCAGUAGAAUGUACAUGACACCCUGGUGUCCAAACACCAGCUACACUACAGGUGAAAGACACUAAUUCCAGUAGAAUGUACAUGACACCCUGGUGUCCGAACACCAGCUACACUACAGGUGAAAGACACAAAUUCCAGUAGAAUGUACAUGACACCCUGGUGUCCGAACACCAGCUACACUACAGGUGAAAGACACUAAUUCCAGUAGAAUGUACAUGACACUCUGGUGUCCAAACACCAGCUACACUACAGGUGAAAGACACUAAUUCCAGUAGAAUAUACAUGACACCCUAGUGUCCGGACACCAGCUACACUACAGGUGAAAGACACUAAUUCCAGUAGAAUGUACAUGACACCCUAGUGUCUGGUCAUCAGCUACACUACAGGUGAAAGACACUUAUUCCAGUAGAAUGUACAUGACACCCUAGUGUCCGAACACCAGCUACACUACAGGUGAAAGACACUAAUUCAAGUAGAAUGUACAUGACACCCUGGUGUCCGGACAACAGCUACACUACAGGUGAAAGACACUUUUAUUCCAGUAGGAGAGGCAGAUAUACACGUUAUGAUGUCAUUUAGUCAUUCCUAUUGAUGUUUUUCUUUUCCCUGGUGAUUGAAAGAGAUUUGCGUUACUGAAUCAGUGAAAGUGCAGUUAUUUUAAAAAAUGGGGAAAGAACAUUAUGAUGGUGCUAACUCUAGAGCAUAUCCAAAAUUGGUGUAUGGGUAUUUGUCAAAUAUCAAAUAAUUGUGUAUGUUGCUAUCAGAUAUACCAAGACCUAAUGAAAAUUAUUCAUAUUUAUGGUGUUGCUUCUACUUCUACUCAUAGAGCACCACUAUUACCCAUCUCCUUACUCUAGAGCACCACAACACUGAUCUUUUCACUGCACCACCAAUACCCAUGCCCUUACUCUAGAGCACCACAACACUGAUCUUUUCACUGCACCACCAUUACCCAUCUCCUUACUCCAGAGCACCACAACACUGAUCUUUUCACUGCACCACCAAUACCCAUCUCCUUACUCUAGAGCACCACAACACUGAUCUUUUCACUGCACCACCAAUACCCAUCUCCUUACUCUAGAGCACCACAACACUGAUCUUUUCACUGCACCACCAAUACCCAUCUCCUUACUCUAGAGCACCACAACACUGAUCUUUUCACUGCACCACCAUUACCCAUGACCUUACUCAUAGAGCACCAAUAUUACCUAUCUCUUUACAAUUAUGAGCAUCACCAACAGCCAUUUCCUUACUCAUAAGAGCACCACCAACAGCCAUUUCCUUUCUCUUAAGAGCACCACCAACACCCAUCUUCUUACUAAGUUAGCAAUACCUGUCUCCUGUACGACUGAAAACAGACCAAUAAAAGCACCACCUUCAGAGCACCACCAACAGCCAUUUCCUUACUCUUCAGAGCAGCACCAACAGCCAUUUCCUUACUCUUAAGAGCAUCACCAACAGCAAUUUCCUUACUCUUCGGAGCACCACCAACAUCCAUUUCCUUACUCUUAAGAGCAUCACCAACAGCAAUUUCCUUACUCUUAAGAGCAUAACCAACAGCCAUUUCAUUACUCUUAAGAGCAUCCCCAACAGCCAUUUCUUUACUCUUAAGAGCAUCACCAACAGCAAUUUCCUUAUUCUUCAGAGCACCACCAACAGCAAUUUCCUUACUCUUAAGAGCACCACCAACAUCCAUUUCCUUACUCUUAAGAGCAUCACCAACAGCCAUUUUCUUACUCUUAAGAGCAUCACCAACAGCAAUUUCCUUACUCUUAAGAGCACCACCAACAGCCAUUUCUUUACUCUUAAGAGCAUCACCAACAGCCAUUUCCUUUCUCUUAAGAGCACCACCAACACCAAUCUCCUUACUAAGUUAGCAAUACCUGUCUCCUUACUCUAAGCACCAUCAGUACCAUCUCCUGUAGCCUUGUGUUGCCCCCUGUCCUAUCCUGUCUAUUUCUCUACAGUAUUACACCCCUUCUUGCUCACAGUAGUGGUAGCGUAUGCUAGUGUUUGUGUCCAGCCUUGAGCUUGCUGGAACAGUUGUGUUUCUCUCCAUCAUUGUUUUAGUCUGCUAGGAUCUUGCUGGGACAGUUGUGAGUGUGUCCAGCCUUGAUUUAGUCUGCUAGGAUCUUGCUGGACAGUUGUGCUUUCUUCUCCAUUGUUUUAGUCUGCUAGGAUCUUGCUUUGACAGUUGUGAGUGUGUUCAGCCUUGAUUCAGUCUGCUAGGAUCUUGCUGGGACAGUUGUGAGUGUGUCCAGCCUUGAUUUAGUCUGCUUGGAUCUUGCUUGGACAGUUGUGAGUGUGUCCAGCCUUGUUUUAGUCUGCUAGGAUCUUGCUGGAACAGUUGUGUGUCCAGUCUUGUUUUAGUCUGCUAGGAUCUUGCUGGGACAGUUGUGUGCCCAGCCUUGUUUUAGUCUGCUAGGAUCAUGCUGGGACAGUUGUGAGUGUGUCCAGCCUUGUCUUAGUCUGCUUGGAUCUUGCUGGGACAGUUGUGAGUGUGUCCAGCCUUGUCUUAGUCUGCUUGGAUCUUGCUGGGACAGUUGUGAGUGUGUCCAGCCUUGUUUUAGUCUGCUUGGAUCUUGCUGGGACAGUUGUGAGUGUGUCCAGCCUUGUCUUAAUCUGAUUGGAUCUUGCUGGGACAGUUGUGAGUGUGUCCAGCCUUAUUUUAGUCUGCUAGGAUCUUGCUGGGACAGUUGUGAGUGUGUCCAGCCUUGUUUUAGUCUGCUUGGAUCUUGCUGGGACAGUUGUGAGUGUGUCCAGCCUUGUUUUAGUCUGCUUGGAUCUUGCUGGGACAGUUGUGAGUGUGUCCAGCCUUGUCUUAGUCUGCUUGGAUCUUGCUGGGACAGUUGUGAGUGUGUCCAGCCUUGUUUUAGUCUGCUAGGAUCAUGCUGGGACAGUUGUGAGUGUGUCCAGCCUUGUCUUAGUCUGCUUGGAUCUUGCUGGGACAGUUGUGAGUGUGUCCAGCCUUGUCUUAGUCUGCUUGGAUCUUGCUGGGACAGUUGUGAGUGUGUCCAGCCUUGUCUUAGUCUGCUUGGAUCUUGCUGGGACAGUUGUGAGUGUGUCCAGCCUUGUUUUAGUCUGCUUGGAUCUUGCUUGGACAGUUGUGAGUGUGUCCAGCCUUGUGCUGGGACAGUUGUUUGUCAUAGUUCACAUUUAUAUUUAGCUCCCACAAAUCAAUAUGUCCCUCCUCCCCUGUAUCUGUGUUAUCUCCACCUUGGACAGGAAAAUACAAACUAGGGCUAUGUAUGCUUUAUUUUACCCUUAUACUAAUGAAUGACAAAAUCAGACACUGAUAUGAGGAACAUGUGUUGCCUUACUUACUGAAACCGCUGUACAGGACAAGUUGCAAGGAGUCUCCCACUGCUCAUCCUUGGGACUUUCAACUGUGUCGUGUAUAUGCACGCCUUGAAGUAGACCAAUGAUCCUAGAGCUACAGCAGCGUCUGUCAGGCUCUUUGAUAUAAGAUUAGGCGUCACAACGCGCAUUUUGAAAGAACAAGUGAAUAUUUUGAUGUAAUCAAUUGUUCUUCAGUUGGCCAGAACUUUAUAUCAGGAUCCUGUUCGUCAAGGUGAUCGUAGCACUAGAAGUGUCAUAAGUGAUAUUCUCAAAGAUUUCGGGGCCAAUCAUUGUGCAAUCUGGUGAGGGAGAAUUGAAAAUCCUGGAAAAUGUCCUUAGAUUUUACAUACAAAAAUCAUUUACUGUAAUGCUGGUUGGUCUGAAAUAAAUGUGUUCUCUGAAUUCCUUUGAACCCAUUGUACCACUAUGAUGAUUGUAACUCCCCUAUUUAUACAAAGGCUUCUAUACUAGUCGCACUAAGAUAGCUCUGUCGAAUUGGGACCCAUCCUUAAUGACAGUUUUAGAGCUACAGUUGCCGUGUGUAACAAGCCCCGGAGAGUUCUCUACAGUCCAUUCUGGACAGGACAAACUCUGAUGUGGGGAAUAACAGCUGAACUUUGAACAAAACCUCACGGGUGAAUAAUAGCUAUAACGCCCUGAGUUUUCAGUCGAAUGGUUAUAACUGGAGUUGAGUGUAUAUAAUGGAUUUCAUUUUCUGAAAGCUCUGCCUGCCUCCCAUGUUCUGACAUGAUCUUGUGUUUGUGUAUUGGUGGUGGCUUGUUGACCUAAUGAAAGUCUAUUAAUCCUUUGUUGUUGAUAUUGUCAUUCAGACAGUUUGUUUCCUGUUGUUACCAACUGUGUUAUAAUUAAUGUCCAUUGUUGAAACUGAUUUGAUUAACCUUUUAAUGGUCACUUACCCGAAGAAAGCAAUAUUACUGAGCAGAACUUCAAAUUGUCCAGUGUAGCAUCACACCUGUUUCAUGUUGGAACAGACACCUGCCUGUGUUGCAUUAUAUGCAUAGAUUCAUGUUUUGUCUCUUCAUACAUUUAGAAUUAUAUUUUAAAUGCCAAAAAUGCCAGAAGCCCGGCAUGGCUUGACCAGACAGUGCAUGAGCAGGUUAAGUGUGACGAUGUCUCCCUAGAACUACCCAAUUAUUUGGAUGGAACACACAACUUAAGUUCUCAAAAUGAUGAAAUGUUCCAAUCAAAAGUCAUUACAAUAAAGAUUUGUGCUGUUACAGAGGCAUUCAGGAGGUUGGAUACAGACAAUAGCUGUUUAUUAUUACUAAACAUUGCACAGGUUAAAUAUACACUUCAUGGUUGUCCUGUUUCUGGUUCCUUUAGUUCAUUGUGAAAAUCAAGUUUUAGGGUUCGGAAGUACUGCGAAUAUUGUGUGUAAAUCCCUCAAAGAGCGUUCUGCCUUCGUGGUCAAACCUCACUGACUGGGUCAGCUUGACCUUGCUAGGUCAUGUUGACCUAUAGUUGGAUGUUCUUCAACUACCAGUAUGUUUGAUGGCCUGAGAUUGGUAGGUUAAAGUGACCUCUCCUUCUGAAGAUGUUGGGGGAACCUAUCUGUAAAUACUACUACCAAUAAAGUAUUUUUCUAAACA
rnacentral:misc_RNA from 1 species